rnacentral:rRNA from 1 species
CGAGGGGCAUCAGGAUGUAGCAAUACAUUGCUGGCGACCGGCGCACGGGUGAGUAACACGUAUCCAACCUGCCUUUUACUCGGGGAUAGGCUUUCGAAAGAAAGAUUAAUACCCGAUGGUAUAAUAUUUCCGCAUGGGAUUAUUAUUAAAGAAUUUCGGUAAAAGAUGGGGAUGCGUUCCAUUAGGCAGUUGGCGGGGUAACGGCCCACCAAACCUUCGAUGGAUAGGGGUUCUGAGAGGAAGGUCCCCCACAUUGGAACUGAGACACGGUCCAAACUCCUACGGGAGGCAGCAGUGAGGAAUAUUGGUCAAUGGGCGAAAGCCUGAACCAGCCAAGUAGCGUGAAGGAUGACUGCCCUAUGGGUUGUAAACUUCUUUUAUAGGGGAAUAAAAUGAGCCACGUGUGGCUUUUUGUAUGUACCCUAUGAAUAAGGAUCGGCUAACUCCGUGCCAGCAGCCGCGGUAAUACGGAGGAUCCGAGCGUUAUCCGGAUUUAUUGGGUUUAAAGGGAGCGUAGGUGGACAUGUAAGUCAGUUGUGAAAGUUUGCGGCUCAACCGUAAAAUUGCAGUUGAUACUGUGUGUCUUGAGUACAGUAGAGGUGGGCGGAAUUCGUGGUUAGCG